GGGAUGGAGUCGCGUGCAGAUGAACCAAAAGGCAGAGAGCUGACAGACUCUGCUGAAGUUCAGUUUUCAGAUGAUGCUGAGGCUUUAGAUACAAUGGUAGUGUCUGUAGAAGAGAAGAUUGCUGUGUGUGAUGCAAUCCUUCAGGAUCUGUUAGCUGUUCAGAGAAUUAUAAAGGAAAAAGGUCUUUGUGAUGCAGCAUUUCAGGAACAAAAGAAUCAAGCUGAUCUUGCACUAUGAAUAUAUUUAAGUUAAAACUUGAACUUUUCUAAACAACUAAUAAAAUGAUGUGAAAGGAUGUGCAAAUAAUGGAG